rnacentral:rRNA from 1 species
UACGUGAGGGUGCAAGCGUUAAUCGGAAUUACUGGGCGUAAAGCGUGCGCAGGCGGUUUGUAAGUCUGUCGUGAAAGCCCCGGGCUCAACCUGGGAAUUGCGAUGGAGACUGCAAGGCUUGAAUCUGGCAGAGGGGGGUAGAAUUCCACGUGUAGCAGUGAAAUGCGUAGAGAUGUGGAGGAACACCGAUGGCGAAGGCAGCCCCCUGGGUCAAGAUUGACGCUCAUGCACGAAAGCGUGGGGAGCAAACAGG